GUGGGGAAUAUUGGACAAUGGGCGAAAGCCUGAUCCAGCCAUGCCGCGUGUGUGAAGAAGGUCUUCGGAUUGUAAAGCACUUUAAGUUGGGAGGAAGGGCAGUAAGUUAAUACCUUGCUGUUUUGACGUUACCGACAGAAUAAGCACCGGCUAACUUCGUGCCAGCAGCCGCAGUAAUACGAAGGGUGCAUGCGUUAAUCGGAAUUACUGGGCGUAAAGCGCGCGUAAGUGGUUUUGUAAGUUGGAGGUGAAAGCCCCGGGCUCAACCUGGGAGCUGCCUCAAGAACUGCAUGACUAGAGUACGGUAGAGGGUAGUGAAAUUUCCUGUGUAGCGGUGAAAUGCGUAGAUAUAGUAAGGAACACCAGUGGCGAAGGCGACUACCUGGACUGAUACUGACACUGAGGUGCGAAAGCGUCGGGAGCAAACAGGAUUAGAUACCCUAGUAGUCC
rnacentral:rRNA from 1 species